GCUCUCGUAAUUCAUGAUAUAGGUGACGUUCCUGCACAAAGGAUUUGAUGAGACACGUCGCCUUGGUCUCCAAAGUGAUACAGAACAGAUGGUGCGCAAUGCAUCACCGGUUGGGGAAACUGGAAUGCUUGUUGUUGAUUCUGUGGUGCCUGGUGGCCCAGCUCACAGCCUUUUGGAGCCUGGUGAUGUGCUUGUUCGGAUAAAUGGGGAUGUAAUUACUCAGUUCCUAAAAUUGGAAACAUUACUUGAUGACAGUGUGGACCGAAACAUUGAAUUACAGAUUGAAAGGGGUGGCACACCAUU